UGCUGAAAACAUUUAAUAGUCUUUUUUAUUUAAAAGUACUUAUGAAAGACCCCCAGAGUGGGGAGACCCUCACUCAAGUCUCAGGAUAAGCUGAUGCCCCAAUAAUUCAAGAGAGACC
rnacentral:pre_miRNA from 11 species